UGCAAGUCGAACGGCAGCACGGGGGCAACCCUGGUGGCGAGUGGCGAACGGGUGAGUAAUAUAUCGGAACGUGCCCAGUCGUGGGGGAUAACGUAGCGAAAGUUACGCUAAUACCGCAUACGAUCUAAGGAUGAAAGCGAGGGAUCGCAAGACCUCGCGCGAUUGGAGCGGCCGAUAUCAGAUUAGGUAGUUGGUGGGGUAAAGGCUCACCAAGCCAACGAUCUGUAGCUGGUCUGAGAGGACGACCAGCCACACUGGGACUGAGACACGGCCCAGACUCCUACGGGAGGCAGCAGUGGGGAAUUUUGGACAAUGGGCGCAAGCCUGAUCCAGCCAUUCCGCGUGCAGGACGAAGGCCUUCGGGUUGUAAACUGCUUUUGUACGGAACGAAAAAGCCUUGGCUAAUACCCAGGGUCGGUGACGGUACCGUAAGAAUAAGCACCGGCUAACUACGUGCCAGCAGCCGCGGUAAUACGUAGGGUGCAAGCGUUAAUCGGAAUUACUGGGCGUAAAGCGUGCGCAGGCGGUUAUAUAAGACAAAUGUGAAAUCCCCGGGCUCAACCUGGGAACUGCAUAUGUGACUGUAUAGCUAGAGUGCGGCAGAGGGGGAUGGAAUUCCGCGUGUAGCAGUGAAAUGCGUAGAUAUGCGGAGGAACACCGAUGGCGAAGGCAAUCCCCUGGGCCUGCACUGACGCUCAUG
rnacentral:rRNA from 1 species